AGCUCUACCUUCUCCUCCCUCACCGUGUCUCUCUCUCUCUCUCUCUCUCUGAAGCUCGAGUUUUCUCAUCUCUCACUGUGGCUUAUUGGUCAUUGCUCUCGCACCCAAGCUCUCUCCCUCUCUCGGCUCCAGUCUCUCUCACUGUCUGGUGUCGCACUCAACUCGUCAUCGCUCUCUCGGCUCCGGUCUCUAUCACGGUCUCUGGUCUCGCACUCAGUCGCGCUCGCGCGCCUUCCCUGCCCUCGUCGUCGCCGGAGGCAGAAGCAGCAGGUCCUGGGACUGGUCGUCUUCGUCGUACCCUGUCUCGUCACCGUCUCGCAGUCAGUCUCGCACCUUCGUUGUGCUCGUCGUUGCCGGAGGCAGAAGCAACAGGUCCCGGGGAUUCCUCCUCGCCGCCAGCUUCCUUCGCACAACCAGAAGCUGGUCCCAAUUUGGCGCUUCAAUUGAACUUUUGGUUGGUGGAGUUAACUCAGAUUUGAUAAUAUGAUAUGUUAUGGCACUGCAAUGCAAGGCUUCUGGGAAGGAUUACCAAUCAUGCUGUACUUUUAGCCGUUCUGAUUUUAUUAGUUCCACACCCUGCUCCCUUCUUUGAUCACUUUGUGUCCUUUUUUCUUUGUGUAGCAUUUUGAUUUGGCAGUGUUAUUACUUACUAGGUUGAACAAUUGAUUGGACAAUUAGUGUGAUCAAGGGAAUGGGAAGGAAGGAAGAAAGAAACAAACAAAACAAACAUUUCUUUCCCAUUGCUUGCCUUGUGACAAUGUAAAUUUGAUUUUGUUGUUAUGGAUUUAAGUUUGUCUAAAUAGAAAAAGGUUUUUCUUUUU